rnacentral:lncRNA from 1 species
GCUAGGAUAUCAACCAUUGUUGAAAGGUAUGCAAAACCAGGGCUUAUCCAUGAGAAUUAAAUACAUCCAGGCCUAUAGACAAAAAACUUGAAAAGAGCUGAAAAAGAAGGUGUUCUCACCACUUUUCCAGCCAAGGGGUCGUAGAACCGCUCCAGGAGCUGGACCACCGUGCUCUUCCCACAGCCGCUGCUGCCCACCAAGGCCAGGGUCUGGCCCUUCUUCACCUCCAGGCUCAGCCCCUGAAGCACUGGGAUGUCUGGUCGAGUGGGGUAGUUGAACAUGACUUCAUUAAAUGUCAGAUUUCCUUCCAUGGUAUUCUAAAAUCAGAACAGCAGUAAUUUGGAUUGUUCCAAUCCUAAAAGCUCAUUUUAUAGCCAACCCUCUAUACCACCAGAUGUCAGAAACCAGUGAUUUUGUAUUAAAAUCAGGUUUCGUUUGUAACUGCUAGAAUGUAUGUAAUACAUAAGCUCUAAAAGUGUAGGUGUUUCUUUUUGUUUUAUUAAAGUUUAGUUGAUUUAUAAUGUGUUAAUUUCUGCCCUACAGCAGAGUGAUUGAGUUAUACACAUAUAGUCUUUUUCACAUUCUUUUCCAUUGUGGUUUAUUACAGGAGACUGGAUGUAGUUCCCUGUGAUAUACAAUAGGACCUUGCUGUUUAUCCAUUCUAUGUAUAGUUGCCUCUGCCAAUCAAAGGGUUGGUGUUUUGAUAGCAUGUCUUGUUAACACAAUACAAAUGUGAUCACUUAAAUGUGUUCCCCCAAAAUAGAGUAACUUACAUAUAAUAAAACCUGACUGGGAUUAAAGUGGGCAGUGUUUCCAUAUUUUUUGUGGCUCCGUUAUGCAAAAGUACUAGAUGACCAGAGUUCCCAUCAUGGCACAGUGGUUAACGAAUCCGACUAGGAACCAUGAGGUUGCGGGUUCGAUCCCUGGCCUUGCUCAGUGGGUUAACGAUCUGGCAUUGGGGUGAGCUGUGGUGUAGGUUGCAGACUCGGCUCAGAUCCUAUGUUGCUGUGGCUCUGGUAUAGGCUGGUGGCUACAGCUCCGAUUCAGCCCCUAGCCUGGGAACCUCCAUAUGCUGUGGGAGCGGCUCAAGA